rnacentral:lncRNA from 1 species
CUCUCCGUCACCUCCACCUCCUUACUACUAUAAGUCUCCUCCACCUCCCUCACAUUCCCCUCCUCCACCAUACUAUUACAAGUCUCCUCCACCACCCUCUCCCUCACCCCCACCUCCAUAUUACUACAAAUCUCCUCCACCACCCUCUCCCUCACCCCCACCUCCAUAUUAUUACAAGUCUCCCCCACCACCCUCACCAUCCCCUCCCCCACCAUACUAUUAUAAGUCUCCUCCACCCCCACAUAUACACAAGGACCCACCAUACUAUUACAAGUCCCCACCACCACCUUCACCAUCUCCUCCACCACCUUACUACUAUAAAUCUCCCCCACCACCCUCACCAUCUCCUCCACCACCAUACUACUACAAAUCUCCCCCACCACCUUCACCAUCUCCUCCACCACCAUACUACUACAAAUCUCCUCCUCCUCCAUCCCCUAUCCCCCGUACACCUUACUACUACAAGUCCCCGCCACCACCUUCACCAUCUCCUCCACCACCAUACUAUUACAAAUCUCCUCCCCCGCCAUCUCCUAUUCCCCAGACACCUUACUACUACAAGUCCCCACCACCACCUAAGUAUCUUCCACCACCAUACUAUUAUAACUCUCCUCCUCCACAUGUUGUGUAUCCUCAACCACACCCUU